GCGGAGGGAGAGGGGCCCGAGUCGAACCGUGACGCCGGGGUCUCAUUCAGGCCAGAAGCGCCGCAAUCCCAAAGACAGAUUUUCCGACAACUCCCGCCCGCACCCGCCCUAUGGAGACCGGCUGGAAGCGGGGCUGGCAGGCUCGGGGGUGGGGGUGGGGGCUGUGGAUGGGGUGCCCUCCCCCGCCCCGGGAGGAGCCAAGCCCGCGGGGUGAACCCGGGAGACUCCUCCAGUCCAACCAAGGACGCAUCUGCGGAGGUAACAACCGGCCGCAGCCACCUUUGAGGCCGAGGGCGUCGAUCUUUCCUGAGCCUUCCCCCAGCCCACCCACUCAGGUCCCCGAAGUCUGCAACACUAGCGCAGGCUGGAAAGUCAAGGGGCGUGGGCGUCCCGCCGGCGCGCAUUCCCUUCACCUGUGCAGAGGCCCUGGAGAGGAUGAGGCCGGUGACAGGGGGACACCCCUCUCUCCUGAGCCCUGCUGGGGUCGGACCAUCCCAGAAGGAGGACAGGCCACGCAGGCCGGAAGAGCCUAUAUUUAAUGUAUAUGAAAGAGAGAGAGAGAAAGAGCACAGAGGGAGAGCGAAAGGGGCAAGCCGACUCCCUCCUGAGCGGAGAGACCGAUGUGGAAUGUGGGGCUCCAUCCCAAGACCCUGGGAUCAUGAUUGAGCCACCCAGCCUCCUAAUGUGCGCAGUGAGAUGCCUGCUGGGAGAGCUCAGCGUGGGCCCUCGGAGCUUCAGCAGCUUCUCAGACGGUCACCCUUCUCCUCAGCUUAGAGGAUCAAGUUUCAUCUAUGAAGGAAGGCCGAGGCUUUCCCGACAGUCCUUAUCUGCUCGGGCCAUCAGAGCUCCACCCCGUUUCUCCAUGGAGACUGGAGAAGGCCACAAAGCCCAACCAAGCUGGGUCUGGUGGGGGCACCUGCGUUUACUGAGCCUUUAUUUUGUGCCAGGUUCUGUACACAGCAUUUUCCCUGCUUUGUCACAUUGAAAGAAAACACGUUCUUGAUUUUUUUUUUUUAAAGAUUUUAUUUAUUUAUUUGACAGAGAGAAAUCACAAGUAGAUGGAGAGGCAGGCAGAGAGAGAGAGAAGGAAGCAGGCUCCCCGCUGAGCAGAGAGCCCGAUGCGGGACCCGAUCCCAGGACCCCGAGAUCACGACCUGAGCCGAAGGCAGCGGCUUAACCCACUGAGCCACCCAGGCGCCCCACGUUCUUGAUUUUUAAUGUUUACAUCAUCUCUACGUGCCACGUGGGGCUCGAACUUUAGACCCCUGCUGAGAUGGAGUGGUUCAGGCUCUUAGGGACUG